CACUAUGCUUAGCCUUAAACAUAAAUAAUUUAUUAAACAAAAUUAUUCGCCAGAGAACUACUAGCAACAGCUUAAAACUCAAAGGACUUGGCGGUGCUUUAAACCCCCCUAGAGGAGCCUGUUCUAUAAUCGAUAAACCCCGAUAGACCUCACCACCUCUUGCUAAUUCAGUCUAUAUACCGCCAUCUUCAGCAAACCCUUAAAAGGAACAAGAGUAAGCACAAUCAUCUUGCAUAAAAAAGUUAGGUCAAGGUGUAACCCAUGGGGUGGGAAGAAAUGGGCUACAUUUUCUAUUCAAGAACAACUUACGAAAGUUUUUAUGAAACUAAAAACUAAAGGUGGAUUUAGUAGUAAAUCAAGAAUAGAGAGCUUGGUUGAAUAAGGCAAUGAAGCAUGC
rnacentral:rRNA from 1 species